rnacentral:rRNA from 1 species
UACGUAGGGCGCGAGCGUUGUCCGGAAUUACUGGGCGUAAAGCGUGCGCAGGCGGUUUUGUAAGCCAGAUGUGAAAUCCCCGGGCUUAACCUGGGAAUGGCAUUUGGGACUGCAAGGCUUGAGUGCGGCAGAGGAGACUGGAAUUCCUGGUGUAGCAGUGAAAUGCGUAGAUAUCAGGAGGAACACCGGUGGCGAAGGCGGGUCUCUGGGCCGAUACUGACGCUGAGGAGCGAAAGCGUGGGGAGCGAACAGG